AAGCUUUUAUUUUGGGUAUUGGUUUAGCCACUAGCGCGCCUGAUACCCUACACGGCGCCCAUGAAAACGGGUCGCCACCUGAGAAAUCUCAACCCCCGGUCGGCCUCCCGACCGGGGG
rnacentral:sRNA from 1 species